CCUACGGGAGGCUGCAGUGGGGGAUAUUGGACAAUGGGGGGAACCCUGAUCCAGCGACGCCGCGUGAGUGAAGAAGUAUUUCGGUAUGUAAAGCUCUGUCAGCAGGGAAGAAAGAAAUGACGGUACCUGACCAAGAAGCCCCGGCUAACUACGGCCCCGCCGCCGCGGUAAUACGUAGGGGGCAAGAGUGAUCCGGAAUUACUGGGUGUAAAGGGAGCGUAGACGGUUAAGUAAGUCUGGAGUGAAAGGCCGGGGCCCAACCCCGGGACUGCUCUGGAAACUAUUGAACUUGAGUGCAGGGGAGGUAAGCGGAAUGCGUGGUGUAGCGGUGAAAUGCGUAGAUAUUAGGAAGAACACCAGUGGCGAAGGCGGCUUACUGGACUGUAACUGACGUUGAGGCUCGAAAGCGUGGGGAGCAAACAGGAUUAGAUACCCGAGUAGUC
rnacentral:rRNA from 1 species